GACGAACGCUGGCGGCGUGCUUAACACAUGCAAGUCGAACGGUAAGGCCCCUUCGGGGGUACACGAGUGGCGAACGGGUGCGUAACACGUGAGCAACCUGCCCUUGACUCUGGAAUAACAGUUGGAAACAGCUGCUAAUACUGGAUAUUCAUCGUCUCCUUCCUGGGGGGUGGUGGAAAGCUCCGGCGGUCAGGGAUGGGCUCGCGGCCUAUCAGCUUGUUGGUGGGGUAAUGGCUCACCAAGGCUUCGACGGGUAGCCGGCCUGAGAGGGGGGACGGCCACACGGGGACUUAGGAAAGGGCCAGGCUCCUAACGGAGGCAGGAGGGGGGAAUAUUGAACAAUGGGCGCAAGCCUGAUGCAGCAACGCCGCGUGCGGGAUGACGGCCUUCGGGUUGUAAACCGCUUUCAGUAGGGACGAAGGGUGACUGACGGUACCUACAGAAGAAGGACCGGCUAACUACGUG
rnacentral:rRNA from 1 species